rnacentral:lncRNA from 1 species
AUGAACAACUCCAGACGCGCCACCUUAAGAGCUGUAACACUCACCACGAAGGUCUGUAGCUUCACUCCUGAGCCAGUGAGACCACGAACCAACCCAUCAGAAGGAAGAAACUCCGAACACAUCCGAACAUCAGAAGGAACAAACUCCAAACACAUCCGAACAUCAGAAGGAACAAACUCCAGACACGCCACCUUAAGAGCUGUAACACUCACCGCGAGGGUCCGCGGCUUCAUUCUUGAAGUCAGUGAGACCAAGAACCCACCAAUUCCGGACACAAGAUUCCCCUCAGCAUCCACAACAUUCUGCCGAUCGAUGGCCUGCUGGUAUCUGCUGGUGCCUUCUGCAUCUGCUCCUGUAUGGAAACCUCUCAAAGGCUUUCAGAGCUGUGACUGGACAGGAGAGAAGGGGUGGACAUCAUCUUCUGGGAAUUCAAGUAAGAACUGCUCUUUGGGGACCCUUAACUGCAAUCAGAGAAAGAUUGUAACAUGUAGAAAGGAGCUUACAAGACAAAACAACAACAACAACACUCUUACCCAAAAAGAGACCUUCAUUGCCAUCAUCCCUGAAGGCAUUUUUCCAGCUCCUCCUUGAAUACUUUCAGUGUUGAGCCAUUCAUUGUGUCCAGUGGUAGUCAACUCCAAUUUUGGAUGCACUAAAACCUUCUUCUGAAUACUGAAUAAGUCUGGCCAUUUGCCUCUGUUAAUCUAAAUAUACAAACUUCAAAUGGAAACUUUCUCAAUUGUCCCAAGUAUUUAUCUGAUUCUUCUAUGUGUCCCAAUUUUUUACAUAAUACAUAAAAAUAAUUAUAAAAAGUGCUCACUAUUAUAAUUUUUUAUCAAUUCAUCUAUAUUUUCCUUUCUCACAACAGGAGUUUUGAAAAAGAGUCUGAUGUGUACUUCAGGAGUCACCUAGAACAGUGUUGCUCAUCUUCCAUAAAGGAGAAUAAAUAUAUCUGCCCUUGAAGGACUCUCAUCUGUGAAGUGAAAAUUCAUAAAACUUAAAUGGUCCAUAGGAGGGUGAUUUAAAUUUUAUCACACGUGGGCAUCCCCUGACCCCACUGAAAAGUUAAAUGAAAACUACUAUUGUUUGCUGCUUAGUUUCCCUCUGACCAAAACUAGAGAGUAAACUCCUUAAGAGUAGAAGUUGGUUUUAUGGGUUUUUUGUUUAGUAUCAGUAUUUCUCAGUACGUGUACAUAGUAGAACUUCAAUAAAUAAUUAAUUAUAAUUAAAUCUAUUCAUUUCAUGGGGUAGGAAGGUAUUCCUCUUAAUACCUCACUUCCAGAGGUUCAUGUUUUCUCAAAAUAAAUACUUCUGCCCUCUAGCCUGUUCUCCACAUGUGAGGUUAAGGAAAAAUAAAAGGGAAUGUGUGAAAUAUACUCACCCAUGAGGUCAUCUUCAAUGAAUGUUUAUUCAUAAGGGAACCACCCUGUUCUAAGCACCAAACCAUCUCUCCGCUUCCUGUGCCUGAGACAUCAUCAACUCUUUCUUGGAAGAUAUUUCCUGUCCAGUGAGACUAGGACAAUCUAUGUGCUAUCACCAUUCCCCUUCCUUCAAAGAGAAAAUAAAUAAAUACCAACCAACCCACAACACACUGCUAGCCCCAAGCUCAUUCCUAGUGGGUCUUUCAUUCCCUAUCCCCAUGUUUCCCUCAGCUAAUGGAUGCCUUGGAUGACAGACCAUUGGCUUGCCAUGAAACCCCAAAGGGUGGGAACCCUGCUGGCUCAGGAAAUAGGAGAGUUUUCUUUUCCCCUUUCCUGCUGCCAAGGUAAAAUGAACCCCUUUGCCCAGAUAAAUGGGACCAUAGAUAUAUCCUCAUAGGCUAGAAGAGGAGAGUUACAAAAUUUGUAUGGGAAAAAGUACAUAUCUGACAAUGAAAGACAAAUACUUACAUAAAUAAUCUCUACAGGAGAGAGGAAGAAUAGCAUCUCCAAGUUUACACAUAACAUUAAAUGCUUCUUCUGGUUCUCAAAAUGCCAAACAAAUGGGCAUAAACCAGAAAACCUUGCAAAGCAGCUCUGGUGUGGCACAAAAUAUCUGGACUUGAAGUCAGGAGUUCUGGUUUUAAUUAUUCAUUAGCUGUGUGCCCUUGAGCAAAAGUCUGAGGCAACUUGACUGAGACUUGUCUCCUCAUUUGCAAGAUGUAGCAUUUAAUAUGGAUUCAUGGCAAAUGGGUAGCAGCAAGGGUGUUUCGUUACCUCCAGUACUGUUCAGGAGCUGAGGAAGCUGAGGUGUUGAUGCUGAGGAAAUAAACCCAUACACAGGGGUGGUUUUGCAGGAGGAUGAACAAGUCAUCCCAUCGUGGGUGCCAUGUAGUCCAAUGGUAGUGCUUGAAAUUGAACUUACUGUUGAGACAAUGCAGAAGUUCUGGAUGAAUGUGAGGCUAUGGCAUGGCUGAGGAGGGUAAAGAAUGAAAAUCUUGCAAGGGUGAGUCUCACAGCAAGAGGUAGUUUUUAUGUGGGAGUGAAGGAGUAGUGGCUUAGAGAAGGAAAUGCUUCACUGAGAGGAUGUUGAAAACCUCUAACCGAACAAAUACUGAAGUGCAGGGAAUGCAAGCAGUCU